GGGAAUCAGUCUCCUGUUUCUGUGGCUGUUGUAAGUGUCGUUAAUUACAUUUCCCACAUUAGCUGAAAAAAAUAAGAGGUAUUAACAGAAGUCAGGGGAAGAUACAGAGAAGGCCUACCAGACAGUCAUUUCUUCAGCUCCCCUUGCAAACAGUAGGCAAAGCUGUCAUACAAGGCUGCCUUUGGUAACUUGAAAUUGUGUAGAGUAACCAUGGAAUUGGGACUUAAUGCACCUUUUGCGGAUAACUGGAAAUAUAACUACUGCUAGUUCUUCCACUACAGUCUUCUGCACCUCCACUGUUAAGACUUACUACCCUUGUUUACAGGGUGCAGUAAAAAUUACUAUCUGCAAAGUACAAUAUGUUUGGCUAAAUAAAAUGGGCUUUCAAUCACAAAGAAAACGUAUGUAGAAGGAAAAAAAAUAGCCAUUCACUGGAUGUUGUCAUUUGCUAAGGACAUGCUAAAAUAAAAGGGCUAGGAGUAGAGAACUGUGUCUGAAAUGCUAGCAGGAUGACCUACUAAGUGAAGGUGAAAGUACAAACUCAUUUUCCGGAACAUAGUAAACUUGUUCAUUUGAAUUAGUGGGUAAUAGUCCACAACAGAAAACUGACAGUUCAGAACACUACUGAGUAGUUUAUCAAGCAAAGAAAAGUUACAAAACCAUCUACUUGAAUUUUCAAUGAACAAAAUACAAGUAGGAGGCUAGCAUCUUCUGUUUUUAAAAUAAAUAUUUACAUCUAAAAUUAUAGAUCUUAAGUUACCUUUUCUUACAGUUUGAGAAGCUUUUAGAAAUGUGUCCCAGGGCUUUUCAUCCUUCUAAGGUACUGUGUUCCUGAAUUAAUCCUUUCAAGCAGCCGUCAAGUUAAUUCACAGUUUCUUUUGUAUAAUUAGGAGAAUAGAAAAAGCUAUACAACUUCUUAGAAUCAAUGUAAAUACAGUAUGUAAUUCCUCCUCCCCCUUCAGUAUUUCUUUGUACCAUCAUAAUUUGAUGUAUUCAAAGUACACAGUCCACUUGAAGUACACAGUAAGUUUUCUUUAUGCAUUUAAUUUUUCUUUAUCUUCCCUUAGAAGCAAACAAAUACACAGGCCAUUUUUUAUAGGAAAAAGUGCUUGUAUUGCCUAAGGAGUUCAAGUAAAAAUAACUUUGAAAGUAUUAUGUCUGUAUUCUAUUUCUGUGCUUUUAUGUUUUUAUUAAAGUAUAAAACUCAGCUUCUAAA
rnacentral:lncRNA from 1 species